rnacentral:rRNA from 1 species
UCUUAGCAACCGAUUUGGUCCUAGUCCUAUUCUUAGUUUUGUCUAAAUCGAUACAUGCAAGCCAUCUAGCGACACAGUGAGUAAAACUAAAGUCACACUUUAAAGAAACGACUUUUACAAGAAGUAUCAGAAAAUUAGUUUUUUCAUUAAUUCCAAGACACUUAGCCCGCCACAUCUGCAGUACCUAAUAUUAUACAAUAAGCAAAAACUUGAUAUAGUUAUAGAUUAAAGAGUCGGUAAAUUAUGUGCCAGCCACCGCGGUUAUACAUAAAACUCGAACUAAGAAAUUUAAAUCGGUCUAAAGGUGAUUAGGGUUAAAACCACUUUGAGGUGAAAAAUAACUUCAGUACUAAUAAGCUUUUACAGUAAAAUAACAACUAAAUAAAACUUACCUCAAACUUUACCUCCCUGAAACACCAAAGCUCAAAAAUAAACUGGGAUUAGAUACCCCACUAUAUGAGCCGUAAAAAACAUAAACGCCAGAGA